rnacentral:rRNA from 1 species
AGAACGAACGCUGGCGGCAGGCUUAACACAUGCAAGUCGAACGCCCCGCAAGGGGAGUGGCAGACGGGUGAGUAACACGUGGGAACGUGCCCUAAGGUUUGGAAUAUUCCCGGGAAACUGGGAGCAAUACCAAAUGUGUCCGCAAGGAGAAAGAUUUAUCGCCUUAGGAUCGGCCCGCGUCAGAUUAGGUUGUUGGUGGGGUAAUGGCCUACCAAGCCGACGAUCUGUAGCUGGUCUGAGGGGACACCAGCCACACUGGGACUGAGACACGGCCCAGACUCCUACGGGAGGCAGCAGUGGGGAAUCCUGGACAAUGGGCGCAAGCCUGAUCCAGCCAUGCCGCGUGGAUGAUGAAGGCCUUAGGGUUGUAAAAUCCUUUCGUUGGGACGAUAAUGACGGUACCCAAAGAAGAAGCUCCGGCUAACUUCGUGCCAGCAGCCGC